rnacentral:rRNA from 1 species
GAUGAACGCUGGCGGCGUGCCUAAUACAUGCAAGUCGAGCGAACAGACGAGGAGCUUGCUCCUCUGACGUUAGCGGCGGACGGGUGAGUAACACGUGGAUAACCUACCUAUAAGACUGGGAUAACUUCGGGAAACCGGAGCUAAUACCGGAUAAUAUAUUGAACCGCAUGGUUCAAUAGUGAAAGACGGUUUUGCUGUCACUUAUAGAUGGAUCCGCGCCGCAUUAGCUAGUUGGUAAGGUAACGGCUUACCAAGGCAACGAUGCGUAGCCGACCUGAGAGGGUGAUCGGCCACACGGGAACUGAGACACGGUCCAGACUCCUACGGGAGGCAGCAGUAGGGAAUCUUACGCAAUGGGCGAAAGCCUGACGGAGCAACGCCGCGUGAGUGAUGAAGGUCUUCGGAUCGUAAAACUCUGUUAUUAGGGAAGAACAAAUGUGUAAGUAACUAUGCACGUCUUGACGGUACCUAAUCAGAAAGCCACGGCUAACUACGUG